GAUGAAGAACGUAGCGAAAUGCGAUACUUGGUGUGAAUUGCAGAAUCCCGUGAACCAUCGAGUCUUUGAACGCAAGUUGCGCCCGAAGCCACUAGGCCGAGGGCACGCCUGCCUGGGCGUCACACGCCGUUGCCCCCCCAUCUACUCCUUCGGGAUUGCGGGGGGGCGGAUGAUGGCCUCCCGUGCGCCUAGCCGCGCGGUUGGCAUAAAUACCAAGUCCUCGGCGACGCACGCCACGACAAUCGGUGGUUGCGAAACCUCGGUUGCCCGUCGUGUGCGUUCGUCGCGCAUCGAGGGCUCGAAAAAAUGCCCGGCUCCGGCUGGGCUUUCAACGCGACCCCAGGUCAGGCGGGGUUACCCGCUGAAUUUAAGCAUAUCAAUAAGCGGAGGA
rnacentral:misc_RNA from 1 species